AACAAAUGUUUAAUUCCAUACAUGUGUAUGUUUGCCUUCUUGGAUAUUUAAAUACCGAUUUCUCAGUGUUUCAUCUCAUUCUAUCCAAAAUCCUAAUUUCUGUAGCUAAAUCUGUAUUUGUGAGGGCAAGGAAUCCAGUGGUAUAAAUUAUAGUCUAGGAAAAACCAAUGUAUGACUAUUUUUGAUUUUUAUUGCGCAUAACUGAAUUGCCUGUUUGAGCAGGUAGCUCAGUGGCUUAAGGGUUUGCUUGUAGUUUGAUUCCCACUCACAGUACCAGUCUCUGUCCUUGGACAAGAUAGUUCACAGCUGGGUGGACUGGGUCCUUGUCCUGGUCCACCCAGCUGUAAAUGGAUGAUGGUCUUGGUUGGGGAAGUAAUCUGAGUUGGGCUGGUGUCCCCUCCAAGGGGAGUUGAAGACUCUUGUCCGUUUCAUGCUUCCGAAUCAUCUCGACAUCUAGAUUAACUGGGCCUGUGAUACUUGUGUCCAAACCAUUUCCAGGGUUAAGUACAAUACUACAAUGACUGCCCAUAUAUGCUUUAAUAAUCAUAAAUAUUAAAACCCAAAAUGCAUCU